rnacentral:lncRNA from 1 species
AAGGCAAGCUGCAUGAGGUAUCUUGUGAAGUUUGGGAAGAUAUUUGAGAUCCGUGAGGAGUUCAACGUAUUCAUGCAAUGCGCAGAUAGAGAUUUGAUAUCUGAAGUCUUCCACGAAGUCCUCACUACAUGGAAAGGGUUUUAGUGUGUUGGUAAUGUUAUACAAAAACAUUUAUUUAUGGACUCUAUUUGUUUUUUUGGUGCAGAAGAAGGAUUUGAUGGGUCUUUUAUGUACAGAUUACAAAGAAUGGGAUUGUAGGUGGGGGUUUUAAACUCAACUCCCCCCAAACAAGUAUUUUUCCUUGCAAAAGGUUAAAAACAGAAACAAUGUAAAUUCAUGAUUUGUUUGAAUGCAAACUUCAAGUUUGAAUCGUUGACCUAUAACAUCAGAUUACUUUUUUUAUCAGAUUUAUGUGUCAAUCAAUUUCUAAGUAACAUAACUUGAAGUAGGUUCAUGAUUUUGAGUAGGAAUUGGUUAAAGACUUAUUCUAAACUUAGGCCAAGCUAAAGAGCUAAUAAGCAAAUCCCCCCCCUCCCCAAUAUGUGGUAACAUUUUCAUCAUAGGAGCAACUCUACAGAAACAAUGCAGAGUCAUUUCAAAGAAGCAAACUAGUAGAGUUUCAACAGAGGCAGGUAAAUAUACUCUAGAAGCACAAGAAUUUGACAAUGACAAGUUGGUUCAUGAAUCUGAGUAGCAAGUGCAGGGGAUAUGAUGCAAGGAGAUACUAGUAUAUAAUAGUAUUUGAUGAAACGCUUAUUAUCCAUGUCUGGUGGUAACAUUUUCAUCAAAAAAUCUCGAGGAAUAAAUACUGAGUCAUUUCACAGAACCAAACAAGUUCUUUCUACUCUAGUAGCACACUACAUAUCACAAACUCUAUGUAUUUAUAUGGAAAAAUCAAAAUCAAGAAAUAGCUCCUCCGGUGGACUGAAUCAAUUGCUAUGUAAGUGAUUUCAGAUGCCGUUGGGAAAAUUAGACAUAUCAAUGACAACAACAGUACUCUUCGUAUGAGAUGUGAAUACUUAAUACCCAAAACUCAUGAAGACAAAGACAGAAACAAAAAUUAAAAACAGAUGGGUAUAUAGAGGAUUAGCAUAUAAGCAAUACAUGAGAAUCAAACCAAGAAAAUAAUGGACACGCAAAUAUAAGUGUUCAAAGAGAGCAGCGACGACUUACAUUUUUGAUAACGAUCACCAGAAUCGGCAUUGUUCAUCUUUCGAAUUCGAAUCUGGAGGAGACCUAUGCUGCUCUCCCUCCACCGGAGAGAGAGGGAAUCGAAUCGAAUCUCUCUUGUUC